rnacentral:SRP_RNA from 1 species
UGGCGGGUCUCCCCGCAUCGUGGCGCGGUGAACCUGGUCAGGUCCGGAAGGAAGCAGCCACAGCUGCUCACCACGAGUGCCGGGGGUCAGGCUCGCCACCCC